rnacentral:rRNA from 1 species
AGUGAACGCUGGCGGUAGGCCUAACACAUGCAAGUCGAACGGCAGCACAGUAAGAGCUUGCUCUUACGGGUGGCGAGUGGCGGACGGGUGAGGAAUACAUCGGAAUCUACUUUUUCGUGGGGGAUAACGUAGGGAAACUUACGCUAAUACCGCAUACGACCUACGGGUGAAAGCAGGGGAUCUUCGGACCUUGCGCGAUUGAAUGAGCCGAUGUCGGAUUAGCUAGUUGGCGGGGUAAAGGCCCACCAAGGCGACGCUCCGUAGCUGGUCUGAGAGGAUGAUCAGCACAACGGGACCUGAGAACGGGUCCAGACUCCUACGGGAGGCAGCAGUGGGGAAUAUUGGACAAUGGGAGCAAGCCUGAUCAAGCCAGACCGGGUGGGUGAAGAGGGCCUUCGGGUUGUAAAGCCCUUUUGUUGGGAAAGAAAAGCAGCAGGUUAAUACCCCGCUGUUCUGACGGGACCAAAAGAAGAAGCACCGGCUAACUUCGU